UAAUACGUAGGGUGCGAGCGUUAAUCGGAAUUACUGGGCGUAAAGCGUGCGCAGGCGGUUUUGUAAGACAGAUGUGAAAUCCCCGGGCUUAACCUGGGAACUGCGUUUGUGACUGCAAGGCUAGAGUACGGCAGAGGGGGGUGGAAUUCCUGGUGUAGCAGUGAAAUGCGUAGAUAUCAGGAGGAACACCGAUGGCGAAGGCAGCCCCCUGGGCCUGUACUGACGCUCAUGCACGAAAGCGUGGGGAGCAAACAGGAUUAGAUACCCUGGUAGUCCACGCCCUAAACGAUGUCGACUAGUCGUUCGGAGCAGCAAUGCACUGAGUGACGCAGCUAACGCGUG
rnacentral:rRNA from 1 species